AUGCGGGUGGGGACGCUGGGUCCUCUGGCUCUGGGGCUGAACAUCCCGCCCCCCCAGUCUGCAGGGGCCUCCACAGAAGAGCCCCCAAGCCCCCGGGUCUCCGCCGCUUCUCUCAGAACCCUGCGUUCACUCUGCCUGCGUCUGAGCUUCUUUUGGUUUUGUUUUUUUUAUCUCAGACUGUUGUGCCCAAGAUUGUGAAUCCGAGAAACCACUGAGAAGCCGACACCAAUGCAAACGCACCAGGGUUUGUUUACAAGCUCGAGCUUGCGUCCAAGUACACCUGACACAGCGGAGCAGGGACUUGGACCCCGAGGACCCGCUGUCUAUGACUCAGGAAGACAUGGGGCCACGUCCGCCAUGACAGGAGUCCAGCUUCCUCAGGACCCGCUGGAGGACCCUGGAGGCGCUGUUCAGAGUCACAUCCACCUCAGCAGGGCUACUCAGAACGACAAGCAUGGCUUCUAGGCAAUGAUAUCAGGAGGGUCAAUGAGAAAGUCAUCUGACAUUGGCCACCUCAGCUGGAUGGUGAUUGUCCCCCUGAAACAGGCCAACCAGGGAGCCUGUAUGAUUGGCAGGGGCAUGGCGGUGACAUCACAAAAAAGCAAUCUGAUGCACCUGGGCUGAUAUAAGAGCAUGGAAACCUCACUGGCCCCCGUGACAACAGAGAUGGCAUUUUAAGUUUUUAACUGUCUGUAUUUUUGAUGUUGCUGUUGAUCUGUCCUUUCUCAUUAAUGAUUUUAUUAAAUUGAGUCCUUUCUCUCUUCUUUUUAA